rnacentral:lncRNA from 1 species
AUGUUUGAGGAACUGCCUCCAGGCUGCCAGAGAAGCGAAGCAGCACGAAGCCUACUCCAUGCCCAUGAAUUUGCUGCCAGGGCUCCUGCAAACAUGUGGAAGAAUCUCAGUUUCUGUGGGAAGAAUCUGAAUCAAUAUCGCAAAGGCUUAACUCUUCUGUCCCUGCCCACUGCUGUCAUUAACUGGAGGACAAGAAUCCCCAGUGGUAAGCAAGAACAACAAUUUAGUAUCUGUACUGCCUCAUAUUCUGGAACUAACAAUUGUGCUCUUAGUAAUGCAUAACACCCUCAAACCCUCAUGCUUUGUCAUCCCCUUGAAAUGUCCUUUCAGAUAAAUUUUUCACCCCUGAAUAUAACAUAAUUGACAGUAUUGUUAUUUGAAAUGUCUACAUUUGACUCCAGUGUUAAGACCUCAGAUAUAAAUGAGGCACUUCCAACUAUUUUCUCAGAACUCUUGUUCCACAUCACUGAUCUGCAUUCUCAUUAGGAUCAUACAUAGGUUUCAAACACAGAGCCACAGCUGCAGAUAGAUGAAUUAGAAUCUGAAAAGCCUGAUCUGCAAAACUGUUGAACACACAAAACUUAAGCAAGUCCUAUAGAAAUCUCUGAAACUCAGAAUACACAGGGAAAAUUGUACACCUCAAGAAAGAAAGCUAAAAAUCAAAACAAAACAGAAAAGAGAAAGAGAGAAGGUUUAAGUCAUAAUUAAAAUUUUAAAAGAUAUUAAAAAAUUCAUAUAGAGUAUUAAUCUAUUGAGUUGAACUGGAUUUCCAUAACACUUUACACUUUUCUUUCUUAUAGUGGUCUCACUUGUUAACAAGUCUUGUACACUACCAAAAUGAAAGAAUCUUAUGUAACUGAGUAUGUCAUUUGUUCUUCUGCCUUCUUGCAGAUUUCUGCUAGAAAGCACGUUUCUUCUACUCUUUCCUUGUUUGAGAAUUCUUAGGCUUGUAUGAAGCUAAAAUAUAUUCAAGAAGAUCGAUGGGAAUAGAUGUUUCCAGUUCUGAAUACAACCUUUUGUCUCAAAGAUACAUUUUAUUUAUGCAGAUUUAGCACUAAUGCUCUAAAUACUUUUAACUUCUAGAUACACUUUGAAGUCAGGCUGAGGGGGUUGGGAUUGUUCAGCUUCAAGAAAAGAAGGCUUUGGUGAAACCUUAUAGCAGUCUUCCAGUACCUAAAGGAGGCCUACAGGAAAGCUGGGAGAGGGACUCUUUGUCAAGGAGCGCAGUGAUAGGACGAGGAGUAAUGGCUUUAAACCAAAACAGGGGAGAUUUAGAUUCGAU